CGGCGGCCAGGACGAGUACGAGAGGUACAAGAAGGAGGAGAAGCAGCACAAGCACAAGCAGCACCUCGGCGAGGCCGGCGCCCUCGCCGCCGGCGCCUUCGCCCUGUAUGAGAAGCACGAGGCGAAGAAGGACCCGGAGAACGCGCACAGGCACAAGAUCACGGAGGAGAUCGCGGCCACGGCGGCGGUCGGCGCCGGCGGCUACGCCUUCCACGAGCACCACGAGAAGAAGAAGGACCACAAGAGCGCCGAGGAGUCCACCGGCGAGAAGAAGCACCACCUCUUCGGCUGAUCGACCUCAUCACAACGUCGCCGGCGGCGGCGACGACCUCGCCGUACGUCGCCGGCCGCCGUGUCGUCGAUUUGUGUGUGUAAUAAUUUGUCUUCUUCUGCAUGCGUGGUGUUGCUGUUUUUCACAAGAGUCUCCGGCCUCGACCAGUGAGAGGCUGACAGGUGGGGCCGUGAGUUCAGCUUGUGUUGCUUGAUUUUCUCUGCAGCCUUGCCCUCUGUGUGUCCAAAUAAGUGG
rnacentral:misc_RNA from 1 species